rnacentral:rRNA from 1 species
AUUGAACGCUGGCGGCAUGCCUUACACAUGCAAGUCGAACGGCAGCACGGGAGCAAUCCUGGUGGCGAGUGGCGAACGGGUGAGUAAAGUAUCGGAACGUGCCCAGUCGUGGGGGAUAACGUAGCGAAAGUUACGCUAAUACCGCAUACGAUCUAUGGAUGAAAGCGGGGGAUCGCAAGACCUCGCGCGAUUGGAGCGGCCGAUAUCAGAUUAGGUAGUUGGUGGGGUAAAGGCUCACCAAGCCGACGAUCUGUAGCUGGUCUGAGAGGACGACCAGCCACACUGGGACUGGGACACGGCCCAGACUCCUACGGGAGGCUGCAGUGGGGAAUUUUGGACAAUGGGCGCAAGCCUGAUCCAGCCAUGCCGCGUGCAGGAUGAAGGCCUUCGGGUUGUAAACUGCUUUUGUACGGAACGAAAAGGUUUGACUUAAUACGUUGGACUCAUGACGGUACCGUAAGAAUAAACACCGGCUAACUACGUGCCAGCAGCCGCGGUAA